CGGCGGACGGGUGAGUAAUGCCUAGGAAUCUGCCUGGUAGUGGGGGACAACGUUUCGAAAGGAACGCUAAUACCGCAUACGUCCUACGGGAGAAAGCAGGGACCUUCGGGCCUUGCGCUAUCAGAUGAGCCUAGGUCGGAUUAGCUAGUUGGUAAGGUAAUGGCUCACCAAGGCGACGAUCCGUAACUGGUCUGAGAGGAUGAUCAGUCACACUGGAACUGAGACACGGUCCAGACUCCUACGGGAGGCAGCAGUG
rnacentral:rRNA from 1 species